AUGAAGAAAGUGUUCGACCAGACUGUCCGGGACCUGAAACGCGGGGUGAAUAAAAAGGUCCUCAAGGUGCCUGGCACGGAACAGAAGAUACUUGAUGCCACAAGCAAUGAGCCAUGGGGCCCGCAUGGAUCCCUCCUGGCGGAGAUCGCCCAAGCAACACAUAACUAUCAUGAGUAUCAGAUGAUAAUGAAUAUCGUGUGGAAGAGGGUCAGUGAUACUGGUAAAAAUUGGCGGCAUGUGUACAAGGGAUUGAUUGUCCUGGAUUACCUGGUAGCACAUGGAACCGAGCGAGUUAUUGAUGACAUAAGGGAGCAUUCUUAUCAGAUAUCGGCACUAGCUGACUUCCAGUAUAUCGAUUCUAGUGGGAGAGAUCAAGGUAGCAAUGUCCGACGGAAAUCCCAGAGCCUCGUUAGUUUAGUUAAUGAUAAGGAAAGGAUACUGGAAGUUAGGCAGAAAGCACUUGCUACCAGAGACAAGUAUCGGAGUGCAUUUGCCACAAGUGGACCACACAGGAGUCCGGGUGGAUAUGACAAUGACCGCGAUCGCUACGAAGGAGGUAGAUAUGAUAACAGGAAUGGCUAUGGGAGGGAACGAGACGGAUAUAGAGAUGAUGACAGAUACAGUGGCGCUGGAGAUACACCCAAUAGGGAUGGAGAUCGUUAUUCUAGGGAUUCUAAUGAACGCAACAGGGAAGAUGAAUACAACAGAGGAAGUAAUAGCAACCCUGAGUAUGCAGAAGGAUCAGGCCGUAGGAGCUACGGGGAUGAGGAGGCUUAUUCAUCCCGUGGUCGUGGCAGCAACGCUGAUGCACCUACUCAGGAUGAGAGGCCUAUUGAGCGGAAGGCUUCUAACCAGCAGAUUGCUUCACCACCAAGCUACGAAGAUGUUGCAGGAGAUACCCAGGACAACCAUCAUGAUGAAAGAAAUGGAGCGAGUGUGCCUGCUGCACCAAAGGCAUCUUCUCCCUCUGUACCUAGAACAAGCUUUCCCCCAGCCCCAGGGCAGGUGAAUGGUGUUCAUGAUAAGCCUGUCGAGGUUGUAGCUCCACAACCACCUGCUCCUGCUGCACAACCACCUGCUCCUGCUGAACCGAAUGGUUUUGAUGAGUUUGAUCCACGUGGAUCAGUACCAGAUGCUUCACCUCCGGUGAAUACCUCACCGAUAAUGAACAGCUUUGAGAUGGAUUUGUUUGGGUCAGAUCCUAUUGGUGCGCUGGCUUUGGUUUCUGUUCCUCAGCCGACUGACGUCCCAAGUGUCGAGCCAUCAGCAAGUUCAGGUUUUGAAACGGAUAGUUUUAUGGGCAUGCCACCUGCUUCUACCGGGUUCAGUGAGGCAAUUGAUGCUUCAAAUCCUUUUGGAGAUCCUACUCCUUUCAAGGCAGUUCAAGAAGAGAAUCAUGCACCUUCUCAGACAAAUGCGACCCCGGCUGGUUCAUUCCAGGCCACAGGAGCUGGUGCAGAUGUAAAUCCUUUCCAGCCUGCUUCAUCCACUAGCUUUGGUUUUGAAGAUACUCUCGGCGAUCUCAGUUUUGCAUCCAAUGCCGCACCUGGACAACAGGAUAUUUUUGGAAGCACCACCUCCUUACCUUCGGGGGUUUCACAUGCAAAUCCGUCCCAACAGGCACCCCCUGCUUAUGUUCCCUCCCAGGCAUCUCAGCCUAUCACUCAUGCUGCUCCCAUGUUUGCUCAGCCACAAGCAUAUCCUGCAGCCACGAACCCAUCAUCAUUUUCUCAGGCUGCUGCGCCAUCAUUUGCUCCUCCACAGCUACCUCAACAUGCUGCACCAUCAUUUGCUCCUCCACAGGCACCUCAACAUGCAGCUCCCAAUCUACCAUCAGGCCCAUCAAACUUUUAUAUGCAACCGGCUUCACAGAAUGGAGCACCACCAUCCUAUGUUCCUCCACAGUCUUCUCAUCUUCCACCUCAACAUGCACCUCAGCAAAGCUUCCUCCUACAAACUGCCGCACCAGCACCACAGGCACCAUCAAUUUCUCGAGGGGCAUCUCAGCCUUUUGGUGCUCCAAAUUCAGUGCCAUCUGGUGCCAGCACUCCUCUGCAGUCAAGUUUAUCAGCUCCCCCAGAAACACUAAUUUCAGCUUUGCAAGUUAGUCAGACCCAGCCAGUGAAGAAAUUUGAGCCCAAAUCCACAGUUUGGUCUGAUACAUUGACCCGGGGUCUUGUCGAUUUCAACAUUUCUGGCGCAAAAACCAAUCCACAUGCAGAUAUUGGAGUGGACUUUGAUUCAAUCAACCGCAAGGAUAAAAGGCAAGAUAAGAAGAUCUCUCAAGCACCUGUAGUAUCUACGAUCACCAUGGGCAAGGCAAUGGGAUCUGGCUCUGGCAUUGGUCGAGCUGGUGCGAGUGCCGUUGCACCCCCUCCCAACCCAAUGGGUGCCGGGCGGGGUGUCGGUAUUGGUGGUCCUGGUUAUGGUGGCGGAAUGGGAAUGAACCGACCAAUGGGGAUGGGAAUGGGAAUGAACCAACAACCCAUGGGAAUGGGGAUGGGGAUGGGCCAGCAACCGAUGGGGAUGAACCAACAACAGAUGGGAAUGGGCAUGGGGAUGAACCAACAACAGAUGGGAAUGGGAAUGGGGAUGAACCAACAACAGAUGGGAAUGGGGAUGGGGAUGGGCAUGAACCAGGGGAUGGGGAUGCGGCCUCCUCAGAUGGGGAUGGCUCCCGGCGGCAUGCCGGGCGCUGGCUACAACCAGAUGGGCGCUGGAUAUGGCGGGCAGCAGCCAUACGGCGGGUACAGGUGA
rnacentral:rRNA from 1 species